GACGAACGCUGGCGGCGCGCCUAACACAUGCAAGUCGAGCGAUGAAAUUUUAACCGAUCUCUUCGGAGAGAAGAUAAAAUGGAUUAGCGGCGGACGGGUGAGUAACACGUGAGAAACCUGCCUUUCACAAGGGGAUAGCCUCGGGAAACCGGGAUUAAUACCCUAUGACACAUUUCCUUCGCAUGGAAGAAAUGUUAAAACUCCGGUGGUGAAAGAUGGUCUCGCGCCUGAUUAGCUAGUUGGUGGGGUAACGGCCCACCAAGGCCAUGAUCAGUAACCGGCCUGAGAGGGGGAACGGUCACAUUGGAACUGAGACACGAUCCAAACUCCUACGGGAGGCAGCAGUGGGGAAUAUUGCACAAUGGAGGAAACUCUGAUGCAGCGACGCCGCGUGAGCGAUGAAGGCUUUCGAGUCGUAAAGCUCUGUCCUAUGGGAAGAUAAUGACGGUACCAUAGGAGGAAGCCCCGGCUAACUACGUG
rnacentral:rRNA from 1 species